GAUGAAGAACGCAGCGAAAUGCGAUAAUUAAUGUGAAUUGCAGAAUUCCGUGAAUCAUCGAGUCUUUGAACGCACAUUGCGCCUCAUGACAUUCCGUGAGGCAUGCCCAUCUCAGCGUUAGAAAAUAUUCUCAAAUUUUAGUUUUGUGCUAAAAUUUGGAUCAUGUCAAGGAAGCUAUUACUAUUAUUGUGAUCGCUCUUUGGAAAUUGAUAGGUCUUUGAGUUGCUACUCAUAGAACGUGAUGAAUCUUUCUUCGUUCUAUUGUAAUUCACUCUGGUAGGCCUAAAACUUGUAUGCCUGUGGCAUAUCUUGUAAUUUGACCUGAGAUUGGGUAGGGAUACCCGCUGAACUUAAGCAUAUCAAUAAGCGGAGGA
rnacentral:misc_RNA from 1 species